CAUCGGAACGUGCCCGAGAGUGGGGGAUAACGAAGCGAAAGCUUUGCUAAUACCGCAUACGAUCUCAGGAUGAAAGCAGGGGACCGCAAGGCCUUGCGCUCACGGAGCGGCCGAUGGCAGAUUAGGUAGUUGGUGGGAUAAAAGCUUACCAAGCCGACGAUCUGUAGCUGGUCUGAGAGGACGACCAGCCACACUGGGACUGAGACACGGCCCAGACUCCUACGGGAGGCAGCAGUGGGGAAUUUUGGACAAUGGGCGCAAGCCUGAUCCAGCCAUGCCGCGUGCAGGAUGAAGGCCUUCGGGUUGUAAACUGCUUUUGUACGGAACGAAAAGACUCUGGUUAAUACCUGGGGUCCAUGACGGUACCGUAAGAAUAAGCACCGGCUAACUACGUGCCAGCAGCCGCGGUAAUACGUAGGGUGCGAGCGUUAAUCGGAAUUACUGGGCGUAAAGCGUGCGCAGGCGGUUAUAUAAGACAGAUGUGAAA
rnacentral:rRNA from 1 species